CUCAACAUACUCAUGGUCAUUAUGCAAAUGAAUAACAAAAUUUGUUUCAAAAGAAAGAAACACCACAGCCUUAGCAAGCAGAGAGUUUCAAAAUGGGCCGACAUUCUACAGGGGGAAAAAAUACAUAGCUAGUUGUCCAGCAUUUCAUGUGCAAUUCAGUCCAAUAAGAGAAGUGGAGGAAAUGGAGGGAGAACAUUUAACACUCAUGGCAAAAAUGUCAAACCGCAGAGCCCUAACAGCUGCCUUAUUCAAGGAGAUCAGAGAGACGCAUCCACUAGUGCGAUCCUUCACCAACUUUCUGCCAUGAGAUGAACCAAAUCAGAUAAUAGAGAGAGAGAACUUCAUAUUUCAAGCUGUCUAAGAAUAGAUAAAUGUCCAUAUACACUAUGCACAUAAGGAGAGGUUUGCUAGGUUCAGUUAACACGCAUAAUACCUUAUUCUUCAUAAGUGAAGUAAGAUUUAACUACCAUAGACUAGUAAAACCAUAUGGGCAAUCAUUUGGUCUUUUAUUAUUAUGUCAAUUCUUUUUCAAAUUUCAAUCAGCUAACAGCAGGCAAAAAUAGAUAAAACAAUGGGUCUUAAAAUAUUACAUAAGGUUUUAAAGUAUUACAUAGGCAUAUAAAAUGGACAUAUAGGAAAUAAUGACACCGAUUAGAGAUCAUAGUAGAAAUAGAAAGUUAAAAUAUAUGCUUUAACAUUACCAGCAACAACAAAAUAUUUGAAUGAAGUUGUUCAACGUGAAAAGAAGUGUACCUCUCCCUUCUUCUCUUUGUUUCCCUUUGUGAAGAGCUUAUAACCUCCGUAGAAGGCCAAUCCCCAACCAGUAAGAGAGACGAUAAAUUAAGUUCCUAAUCAAACAUCAAAGUGUAUCAAGUGCAAAUCAUCUCCUGUUAUACACAGAGAUGUUAUCGCACCCAAUUGGAAAGAUUUCUAGUCAGUGAACUAUUGAAGUUACAGCCCAAAACAUUGGUGACUCACAACUGGAAGCCAAAGUUGUCGAAAAGUAUGGAUUUUGUCAAAUCUAAUAUGCACUAAUAUUGAAAGGAUACAUACAGCGAUCCAUGUAAUAUAAUAUUUUGCAGUGGUCUAGAAUAUAUAUCUUUAGAAGAGGUAAAAUAUCAUUCCCAAUGAGUAGUAAGAAAGAAAAUCAUUUCUCACAAUCACAAACCCAAAUCAUAAAGAGAACAAAAAUCCCCACCUAAACUUGUUGUCAACCAUGUUUAAGUGACCAUUAAAAUAAUUCUCUAUCUGACAUCUUACAUUCAAAGUUCCUACUAUUACUAAAGUACUCCUUUAGGAAAACGUUACGGAAUGCUUGGGUAAAAAACUCACAACAAAUUUUAGAAGUUUCAAUUCAAACGUCAAGCAAGCCGAUAAUGCCAAAGCCAACAAACAAGCAUAACAGUUCAGACAAGUAGAAAAGACAUUGCAAAGGUCUGAAAGAC
rnacentral:lncRNA from 1 species